rnacentral:rRNA from 2 species
GACGAACCGUGCGAACGUUGUUCGGAAUCACUGGGCUUAAAGGGCGCGUAGGCGGGUUCUCCAGUCAGGGGUGAAAUCCCACGGCUCAACCGUGGAACGGCCCCUGAUACUGAGAGUCUCGAGGGAGGUAGGGGCAUGUGGAACUUCCGGUGGAGCGGUGAAAUGCGUAGAUAUCGGAAGGAACGCCGGUGGCGAAAGCGACGUGCUGGACCUCUUCUGACGCUGAGGCGCGAAAGCUAGGGGAGCAAACGGG